UUUCAAAAGCAGUGAAUUUUCAAGAUCUCUUGUAAAGCUGAAGAUAGUAUCUGGGUCAUAAAUUACUUUCCAGUAGAGUGGCGGAAGUGCCAUAAAUUGUUUUCGUUUCACCUGGCUUGGAAAAGAUCAGUGUGAAAUGAUAUUGCAAAGUCUUUAAUUUUUUAAAAGUUUUCAUUGAAAUAUAGUUGAUUUCAAUGUUGUGGUAGUUUCAAGUGUACAGCAAAGUGAUUCAGUUAUACAUAUAUAUGAAUGUAUACUUGAUAUUUCAAAGUCUUUAGUCCACAUACAAAUAAUAUGUAUGGAGGUCGUCAGCAGUAUUUUGUCAAUACACCUUCUUAUCUUGGAGUUUUGGGGCCAAUUUGGAAGUUUUCUUCCUUAAAGUUUAAGUAUCAUGGUGUCAGCAACAGGGCCAGCUUCCUAGGUGUCUGGCCUGUGUGGUGUCAUCAGGCCGCCGACCCAGGUUAAUGCUCUGCUGGCACCAUCUUGACAUUCUUAAUAAUUUUUUAACAAGCGGCCUGCAUUUUCAUUUUCCACAGGGCCCCGCAAAGUAUGAUGAGGAACUUAGUAUUACAUGUUUACUUGUCAAGAGACAUAAGUGUAUAUACGUACAUUUAUAUUAUAAACAGCAUGAAAGAGUCACCAGGGCCGAACUGUGGGGAGGGGCCGGAGUGGGUGCGCGGAGGACUCGAGAUUAUCUAAAGCCACGGAGAAAAUGGUGGAAAAUUUACUGUCGCCAUUGCCAGAGAGAGCGACUUAUGGCUUUAUUCUUUUCUUAAGCUCCCAAUUUGGCUUCAUACUAUAUCUUGUGUGGGCUUUUAUUCCUGAAUCUUGGCUAAACUCCUUAGGCUUAACCUACUGGCCUCAAAAAUACUGGGCAGUUAGUUGCACUGCCUGUGUACCUUCUCAUUACUGUAGUGAUUGGUUACGUGCUCUUAUUUGGAGUAAACAUGACGAGUACCUCUCCACUCAACUCCAUUCAUACAACCACAGAUAACUAUGUCAAAAACCAACAGCAGAAGACAUACCAAGAAGAAGCCAUCCCAGCCUUAAGAGAUAUUCCUAUUAGUGAAGUAAACCAAAUGUCCUUUCUUGCAGCCAAAGAACUUUACACCAAAAACUGAAUUGUAUGUAGACUAAUACCAAACACUUAUUACAAAUUUUUGAUGUAAAAAUUUCGACCAUA